CGCAUCCCCUAGGGCAUUGGUGUGGAGCUGGAGACCCACUGCCCCAGGUGCUGCUGGGGGUUGUAGUC
ncrna:Canis lupus familiaris (dog) microRNA cfa-mir-324 precursor